AUGAGCUUGCAGGACCCCAAGGAGCCGUCCUUCUUCUUGGAAGCUGAGGAUGACUGGGAGGACCCAGAGGCCCUGACCUCACUGCUGUUCCUGAACGCCCCCGGGUACAAGGCCAGCUUCUGUGGCCUGUACGGCGUGGCACGGCCAUGGCUGAGUGGCAUGUUCUGCAGCUUUAGCGACGAGGAGGAGCUGACUGGGCGCCUGGCACAGGCCCGAGGGGUGGCCAAGAAAGCUGGCGUCUUCAUGGCCCUGGCCAGACUCUGCUUCCUCCUGGGGCGGCUGUGCAGCAGGAGGCUCAAGCUGUCCCAGGCCCGGGUGUACUUGGAGGAAGCACUGGGGUCCCUGGAGGGCAGCUUUGGGGACCUGUUCCUGGUGGUGGCUGUAUACACCAACCCGGCCAGCAUUUACCGGAAGCAGAACGGGAGAAGUGUACACAGGUGUUUCCCAAAGCCAUGGCCCUGCUCCUGGGGACGCUGGGUCACAUUUGCACCACCGAGGUGGAGGAAUAGCUCCUGCAGCUGGCGCUGCAGCAGACAGUGGGUGGCCAGAGCCUGCAGGCCGAGGCCGGCGCCUGCUUCCUGCUGGCCAGGCACCAUGUGCACCUCAAGCAGCCCGAGGAGGCCCUGCCCUUCCUGGAGCGGCUGCUGCUUUUGCACAGGGACUCGGGAGCCCCAGAGGCUGCGUGGCUCUCAGACUGCUCCCUACUGCUGGCUGACAUCUACUCCUGGCUCCUACUCCUGGCCGCAAGUGCCUGCCCCACCUCGUGCUGAGCUGUGUCAUGGUGGCCUCAUUGAGGACACAGGACUCGCUGGCCGGCUCGCUGAGAAGCGUGAACCUGGUGCUCCAGAACGCCCUCCAGCCCCACAGCCUCCCCACCCAGACUUCCCACUACCUCAGGCCAGCUGCGGGCUGUCCAGUGGCUGUGCUACUUCUACAGCACCGUCAUGCCCAGCGAGGCCCAGUGUGUCAUCUACCACGAGCUCCAGCUCUCUCUGGGCCUGCAAAGUGGCCGACAAGGUGCUGGAGGGGCAGCUCCUGGAGAAUGUCAGUCAGCUCUACCUGUCCCUGGGCAUGGAGCAGUAAGGGCUGGCUUUGCAGUGGUGGAGGUGGGGGCGGGCAGGGCAGGGAGGGGGACACAGGGAAGCUGGCCCAGGGUGCCAGCAGCCCCUCUCCUUUUGAUCAUUUGGUUCUUUGGCAUCAGAUGUUUUGAGCUGGUGGGCCUGGGGUCGUUCCAGGGCUGCUGCUGGCCCGUGAGUCCCAGCUUGAGCCUCCCUUGUUGGGUCAAAGGUCAUCUCAACCCCAGCAGAGGCAGUACGUGCACUCUGGGCUGUUCUUCCUACUGUGGUGGCUUUUGUCGUCUGACCUCUGCCUGCCCCGAAUCUUCACUCCUGGCCUUCAUCUAUCCCCUUAAAUGUGACCACAGCAGCCACCUGUGGCUUCUCUCCCACAGAAGACAGAGCCAGUUGUGUCACCUGCUUCCCUGGGGCACGGUUUCCAAGGUCUCACGUCCCAUAAGUGGCCUACUCGGCUUCCCCCAAGCAUCCUGACCUGGUGGGGUAACCAUGGCCCUGGCCACCCCACCCAUAGGGCCCAGUGACAUUGCUGCAGUCACACCCCCUCGAGUGUUGGACUUACUGAGAGAGCAGGGAAGGAGCCACAUUCCAUGGGGACCUGGGAGACUGGCUCCAGUCUUGGCCUCAGGUUCACAGAAGGAAAUGGGCCAGUGUGCUAGAGCCAUGCUUCUCAAAGUGUAGUCCCUGGACCAGUAGAGCAGCACCCAUGUCACCUAGGAGGUUGUGGCAAGUGGGAGUUCUAGGGCCUGCCCCAGGCCUGUGGAACCAGAAGCUCUGGGGGCAGGGCCAGCAAGCUAUACAGACCGGCCUCCGGGUGACUGUGAUGCCUGCACACCUUGAGAACCAUCGGCCCAGAUAGCCUCUGAACACUAACGGCUCCUGAUGUGUCUGGAGAAGACACCAGCCAUGUCUGGGAGGCAGGGGAGAUGGACUAGCACACUCCUCCUGCCACAGGGCAGCAUGAUGCUCAAUUCCCUCAGAAGGAUGUCCUUCAUCUUUUCCAUGCCGUGUGUGUUCACCCUGGCCCUCCCAGCAGCCUGGGAAGGGCAGAACACUGCACACACAAGUCUGCACAUGCCAGAUUCAUCUGUCACCAGACCCACGGGAGGAGGCAGACUGGUUCCAGGAGGAUGAGAGCCCUUGUUCUGACACCUGUGUCUGAUUCCAGGGCCUACAAAUCCGCUCUGGACUACACCAAACGAAGUCUGGGGAUUUUCAUUGACCUCCAGAGGAAAGAGAAGGAGGCGUAUGCCUGGCUGCAAGCAGGGAAGAUCUAUUACGUCCUGCGGCAGAGCGAGCUGGUGACCUGUACAUCCAGGUGAGUGGCAAGGGAUGCAGGAGGACCCCUGUGCUGUUCACUCUCUGUCUAUCCACCCAUCCAUUCAUCCUUCCAUCAUUUAUUUACCUGUUCAUCCUUCCAUCCAUCCAUCCAUUCUUCUGUCC
rnacentral:lncRNA from 10 species